AUUUACUUAAGAAAUUAAGAAUUUGAGCCUCACCAAGGCUCACAAGUAGUGUAUAUAGGUGUCUAAGAGAGGCUACGAGGCCUUAGUCUAAUGUUCAUAACUACCUCCAAGGUACUACAAUCUACAUUGAACUUGUACACCUCCCUUCAUACAAGGACUAAACUAGCUAUUUGUCCUCCUAUUUUCUACUAGUAAAUCCAGUAUUUUUUCAUUUUAGACUUCACUAUGGUGUUUUAAAACACCUUAAUAGUCUAAGAACCGUGUGUGGCC
rnacentral:lncRNA from 1 species